UCCAAUUGGCAAGUUAGCUUAAUAAAGAAACACCAUCCCCUUGAUUCACGCAGUUCCCUACUGGCUACUUCCUAGUAAGCACGAAACAAAACAAAGCAUCUAGAAAUCUCUCUUCUCUGAUUCUCUCCCUUUCCCUUCGCAAACCAAAAAAUGCAGCCCCAGCAGAACAACCCACCCGCACCCGCACUGGAUUCUGACCCGCAACUCCCACAAAUCAGAAUCCACCACCCCUCCUCCCCACGCCACCCUUCCACCGCCGCAACUCCCACCCCCACCGCCGGCGCCCGCCGCAAGAUCGGCGUCGCCGUUGACCUCUCCGAUGAAAGCGCGUACGCUGUACGCUGGGCCGUACAGCACUACAUCCGCCCCGGCGACGCCGUGAUCCUCCUCCACGUCAGCCCUACCAACGUCCUCUUCGGCGCCGAUUGGGGCUCCAUCGACCUCUCCAUCAACACCGACCCUAACUCCGAGGAGGAAGCUCUCACCUCCGUCAACGACCACAACAACAACACCGGCGGUAGCGGUGGCGGCAACAGCCUGAGCAAGCGGAAGCUGGAGGAUGACUUCGACGCCUUCACCGCCACCAAGUCCGCCGAUAUCGCGAAGCCGAUACGCGACGCGCAGAUUCCGUACAAGAUCCACAUCGUGAAGGACCAUGACAUGAAGGAGCGUCUCUGUCUCGAGGUUGAGCGUCUUGGACUCAGCGCUGUCAUCAUGGGGAGCCGCGGGUUUGGCGCCGUCCGCCGUGGUAGCGACGGGAAGCUUGGAAGCGUCAGCGAUUACUGUGUUCACCACUGUGUCUGCCCUGUUGUUGUUGUUCGCUAUCCUGAGGACAGGGAUGAUGCUGUUGUUGCUGAUGCUGUUGUUGCUGUCAAAGAGGGUGAUGAAGGAGAGGCUGUCAUCAAGCCUGUCUCUGAACAUAAGAAAGAGGAUUAGCUGGAGUCAAGUAAUUAUUCAACAAUCUCUGCAGGUGUGCUCUCACAACCAUUUUGUCCCUCAAUGUAGCUGAUCCGUAAGGGAUUGGUGGAAAUGGUUGUAGAACUCUUUCUGUUCCUGUCAGGUUGUACUUAGAGCAUUUCCUGCAUGUGAGAACUCUGGAAAGAUUAUGGAUUAUUUUGUAUGGUUUGAUAUGAAUGAUCUCGGUUCCUUUAGGCUGUUGGAUGAUUGUUUUUGGUUCCGAAAUGGUAUAUACUCUUUCAUGUAGAUGUAAAAGUUUGUCCGUGACUUGUUUUGGGGUUAUUUUCCCAAUUUGUAUGUGACAGAUCCGAUUAUCUUGAUGAGUACUUAGCUAGAUUUUAAAGAA